rnacentral:rRNA from 1 species
UACAGAGGUCCCGAGCGUUGUUCGGAUUUACUGGGCGUAAAGGGCGCGUAGGCGGCAAUUCAAGUCAUCUGUGAAAUCUCCGGGCUUAACUCGGAACUGUCAGAUGAUACUGCUUUGCUAGAGUGCAGAAGGGGCAAUCGGAAUUCUUGGUGUAGCGGUGAAAUGCGUAGAUAUCAAGAGGAACACCUGAGGUGAAGACGGGUUGCUGGGCUGACACUGACGCUGAGGCGCGAAAGCCAGGGGAGCAAACGGG